rnacentral:rRNA from 1 species
CCUACGGGUGGCAGCAGUGAGGAAUAUUGGUCAAUGGGCGCGAGCCUGAACCUGCCAAGUAGCGUGAAGGAUGACUGCCCUACGGGUUGUAAACUUCUUUUAUAAAGGAAUAAAGUGAGGCACGUGUGCCUUUUUGUAUGUACUUUAUGAAUAAUGAUCGGCUAACUCCGUGCCAGCAGCCGCGGUAAUACGGAGGAUCCGAGCGUUAUCCGGAUUUAUUGGGUUGAAAGGGAGCGUAGAUGGUUUGUUAAGUCAGUUGUGAAAGUUUGCGGCUCAACCGUAAAAUUGCAAUUGAUACUGGCAGCCUUGAGUACAGUAGAGGUAGGCGGAAUUCGUGGUGUAGCGGUGAAAUGCGUAGAUAUCACGAAGAACUCCGAUUGCGAAGGCAGCCUACUAGACUGCAACUGACACUGAGGCUCGAAAGUGUGGGUAUCAAACAGGAUUAGAUACCCGUGUAGUC